CAGACAUCACACUUUGCUUACUUUGCUAUCUAUCACUGAGAUCACCAGCCUUUUCAGCCUGGUUAGGAAACAUUGCUGGGGAACUAGUGCAGUGAUUUGGAGCUGUGCUCUCUCUCUCUCAGUGCUCUGAGAGUGUAGGCUCCUUUCCCACUCAAGUGCUGGCUGCAGAUCUGGGUUUGGCACUCCUGGACGUCAUACUACAGCCCCG
rnacentral:lncRNA from 10 species